rnacentral:rRNA from 1 species
UUUGGAGGGCAAGUCUGGUGCCAGCAGCCGCGGUAAUUCCAGCUCCAAUAGCGUAUAUUAAAGUUGUUGCAGUUAAAAAGCUCGUAGUUGAAUUUCGGGAUCAAAUUGUCGGUCGUGCCUCGGUACGUACUGGCGUUAUUGGUUCCUCCCUUCUGAAGAACCACGAUGUCAUUAAUUUGGUGUCGCGGGGAAUCAGGACUGUUACUUUGAAAAAAUUAGAGUGUUUAAAGCAGGCUCGCGCUUGAAUACAUUAGCAUGGAAUAAUGAAAUAGGACGUUUGAUUCUAUUUUGUUGGUUUCUAGGAUCGACGUAAUGAUUAAUAGGGAUAGUUGGGGGCAUUAGUAUUCAAUUGUCAGAGGUGAAAUUCUUGGAUUUAUUGAAGACUAACUACUGCGAAAGCAUUUGCCAAGGAUGUUUUCAUUAAUCAAGAACGAAAGUUAGGGGAUCGAAGACGAUCAGAUACCGUCGUAGUCUUAACCAUAAACUAUGCCGACUAGGGAUCGGAUGAUGUUAAUUUUUUAAUGACUCAUUCGGCGCCUUACGGGAAAC